rnacentral:rRNA from 1 species
GACGAACGCUGGCGGCGUGCUUAACACAUGCAAGUCGAACGGUAAGGCCCUUCGGGGUACACGAGUGGCGAACGGGUGAGUAACACGUGGGUGAUCUGCCCUGCACUUCGGGAUAAGCCUGGGAAACUGGGUCUAAUACCGGAUAGGACCACUGCCUGCAUGGGUGGUGGUGGAAAGCUUUUGCGGUGUGGGAUGGGCCCGCGGCCUAUCAGCUUGUUGGUGGGGUGAUGGCCUACCAAGGCGACGACGGGUAGCCGGCCGGAGAGGGUGACCGGCCACAGUGGGACUGUGAUACGGCCCAGACUCCGACGGGAGGCAGCAGUGGGGAAUAUUGCACAAUGGGCGCAAGCCUGGCGCAGCGACGCCGCGUGAGGGAUGACGGCCUUCGGGUUGUAAACCUCUUUCAGCACCGACGAAGCGCAAGUGACGGUAGGUGCAGAAGAAGGACCGGCCAACUACGUGCCAGCAGCCGCCGUAA